rnacentral:rRNA from 1 species
GACGAACGCUGGCGGCGUGCUUAACACAUGCAAGUCGAACGGAAAGGCCCUGCUUUUGUGGGGUGCUCGAGUGGCGAACGGGUGAGUAACACGUGAGUAACCUGCCCUUGACUUUGGGAUAACUUCAGGAAACUGGGGCUAAUACCGGAUAGGAGCUCCUGCUGCAUGGUGGGGGUUGGAAAGUUUCGGCGGUUGGGGAUGGACUCGCGGCUUAUCAGCUUGUUGGUGGGGUAGUGGCUUACCAAGGCUUUGACGGGUAGCCGGCCUGAGAGGGUGACCGGCCACAUUGGGACUGAGAUACGGCCCAGACACCUACGGGAGGCAGCAGUGGGGAAUAUUGCACAAUGGGCGGAAGCCUGAUGCAGCAACGCCGCGUGCGGGAUGACGGCCUUCGGGUUGUAAACCGCUUUCGCCUGUGGCGAAGCGUGAGUGACGGUAAUGGGUAAAGAAGCACCGGCUAACUACGUG